rnacentral:rRNA from 1 species
AUUGAACGCUGGCGGCAGGCCUAACACAUGCAAGUCGAGCGGAGCGGCGGACGGGUGAGUAAUGCCUAGGAAUCUGCCUGGUAGCGGGGGAUAACGUCCGGAAACGGGCGAUAAUACCGAAUACUAUCAGAGGAGCCAAGUUCGGUUUAGGUAGUUGGUGGGGUAAAGGCCUACCAAGGCGACGAACCGUAACUGGUCUGAGAGGAUGAUCAGUCACACUGGAACUGGGACACGGUCCCGACUCAUACGGGAGGCAGCGGUGGGGAAUAUUGGACAAUGUGCGAAAGCCUGAUUCAGCCAUGCCGCGUGUGUUGAGAAGGUCUUCGGUUUGUAAAGCACUUUAAGUUGGGAGGCGUUACCAGCAGAAUGAGCACCGGCUAACUUCGUGCCAGCAGCCGCGGUAAUUC